GGAAUAAAAGUCGUAACAAGGUUUCCGUAGGUGAACCUGCGGAAGGAUCCUUAUUGUAUAACCGAGGUGCGAGGGCUGUCGCUGACCCGAAAGGUCGUGCACGCCCGAGUGCCCUCACACACAUCCAUCUCACCCCUAUGUGCACCACCGCGUGGGUCCCCCUUUGGCUUGUUCGGAGGGGGGCUUACGUUUUCACACAAACUUUGUAUGCAGUGUAGAAUGUAUUUUUUGUUUUUGCGAUCACGCAAUCAAUACAACUUUCAACAACGGAUCUCUUGGCUCUC
rnacentral:misc_RNA from 1 species